rnacentral:rRNA from 1 species
UCUGUGAACUCCUACGGGAGGCAGCAGUGGGGAAUAUUGCACAAUGGGCGCAAGCCUGAUGCAGCCAUGCCGCGUGUAUGAAGAAGGCCUUCGGGUUGUAAAGUACUUUCAGCGGGGAGGAAGGUGUUGAGGUUAAUAACCUCAGCAAUUGACGUUACCCGCAGAAGAAGCACCGGCUAACUCCGUGCCAGUAGCCGCGGUAAUACGGAGGGUGCAAGCGUUAAUCGGAAUUACUGGGCGUAAAGCGCACGCAGGCGGUCUGUCAAGUCGGAUGUGAAAUCCCCGGGCUCAACCUGGGAACUGCAUUCGAAACUGGCAGGCUAGAGUCUUGUAGAGGGGGGUAGAAUUCCAGGUGUAGCGGUGAAAUGCGUAGAGAUCUGGAGGAAUACCGGUGGCGAAGGCGGCCCCCCUGGACAAAGACUGACGCUCAGGUGCGAAAGCGUGGGGAGCAAACAGGAUUAGAUACCCGAGUAGUCCAUCAGCG